rnacentral:lncRNA from 1 species
GUUCGAGCAGCGGAGCUGAUACGGAGGCUAGAUUGAAGGAAAGAGAAGACAGUGCCAAUAGGUUCUUGCCCUAGCUUUCUUACCCCCUCCUUUGAUAGUUAAGAUGUUUCUCUAUUAGUCCAGGAAUCUAAAUAUGAUCAACAGCAACAAAUUAGAAAAGGAAGAUUGAAGCAUGGAAUGAGUAGAAAAUUUCAGUGUACUCUGAUUUAAUUUAGCUUACGUAUCUAUGUUUGUAUUAGUGUUGGUAUAAAUACCAUGAAAAAGCAUUACUCAAAUAGAAAGGUCAUAAAUGAUGAUGAUGGUCUGUUCAAUUAAUGUUGGUUUUGAAAUUAAUUACCCUUUUUAGCUGUGAUAAUGAUAGUGAUUACUGAUUACUAAUUAAGGUGUAAUUUGGAUUUGGGAGUCAUCUUUCUAACCAAAUUUCUUUGCUGUGGGUGCUAGGUGCUGAGAUUGAGCCCUUUUUG